UACGUAGGGUGCGAGCGUUAAUCGGAAUUACUGGGCGUAAAGCGUGCGCAGGCGGCUUUGCAAGACAGAUGUGAAAUCCCCGGGCUCAACCUGGGAACUGCACUUGUGACUGCAAGGCUAGAGUACGGCAGAGGGGGAUGGAAUUCCGCGUGUAGCAGUGAAAUGCGUAGAUAUGCGGAGGAACACCAAUGGCGAAGGCAAUCCCCUGGGCCUGUACUGACGCUCAUGCACGAAAGCGUGGGGAGCAAACAGG
rnacentral:rRNA from 1 species